AAUGGGAUAACUGGGUCAAAUGGUGAUUCCAUCCUAGGUUUUCUAAGGAAUCUCCAUACUGCUUUCCACAAUGGUUGCACCAAUUUGCAGUCCCACUAGCAAU
rnacentral:pre_miRNA from 1 species